AUACGAACCGGACAAACGUUAUUCGGAAUCAUUGGGCUUAAAGGGUGCGUAGGCGGCGUAGUAAGUGAGGUGUGAAAGCCCUCGGCUCAACCGAGGAAUUGCGCUUCAUACUGCUAUGCUCGAGGGAGACAGGGGUAAGCGGAACUGAUGGUGGAGCGGUGAAAUGCGUUGAUAUCAUCAGGAACACCAGUGGCGAAAGCGGCUUACUGGGUCUCUUCUGACGCUGAGGCACGAAAGCUAGGGUAGCGAACGGGAUUAGAAACCCUAGUAGUCC
rnacentral:rRNA from 1 species